GAUGAACGCUGGCGGCGUGCUUAACACAUGCAAGUCGAACGGAAAGGCCCAAGCUUGCUUGGGUACUCGAGUGGCGAACGGGUGAGUAACACGUGGGUGAUCUGCCCUGCACUUCGGGAUAAGCCUGGGAAACUGGGUCUAAUACCGGAUAGGACGAUGGUUUGGAUGCCAUUGUGGAAAGUUUUUUCGGUGUGGGAUGAGCUCGCGGCCUAUCAGCUUGUUGGUGGGGUAAUGGCCUACCAAGGCGUCGACGGGUAGCCGGCCUGAGAGGGUGUACGGCCGCAUUGGGACUGAGAUACGGCCCAGAGUCCUACGGGAGGCAGCAGUGGGGAAUAUUGCACAAUGGGCGCAAGCCUGAGGCAGCGAGGCCGCGUGGGGGAUGACGGCCUUCGGGUUGUAAACUCCUUUCGCUAGGGACGAAGCGUUUUUGUGACGGUACCUGGAGAAGAAGCACCGGCUAACUACGUG
rnacentral:rRNA from 1 species